CGCUACCUCUCUUACCUUGAUUUCUCACUGCUGAUCGAAACCCUAAGCUAACACCUCAAAAAAGCCAACCCAAAAUCUGAAUGCAAACCACUCUCCCGCCACACUUUCUGUCUUCCUCCACCGUCAUUCGCCAUCUGCAAUUUCUCCAUGCUCAUCUCUUUAAUCUCUUACCACUUUUGUCUAUAAACGUCAAACCCCCAUCAUACCCUUUUCUAAUUCCCUUCCAAAUUUCCCAUAUUUUUCUCAAUCUAACACCCAAUUUUCUCUGCCCAGCAUUUUGAUAUGCAGGGUGUGGGGGAUCAUGGGUUCCAAGGAUCCUGCUCCGGUGGUUGACAACGUUAAGAGGGCAAAGCAGGUGCCGGUGGACUGAUUUCACUCUCUUUAUAGCGUGCAAGUGGAAACAUAAAUGUGGUAUUGCUUAUAUUUGCAUAAGAGGUCUUGUGUGAAAAUUAAAGUCGGACAAUAUCAAGGGGGAAUUGUACUUGGUAUUAAUAAAUUGGAGGAUAGAUUUGUGUCUCGAACUAGCAUGUCAUGCACAAGCCAAAGGUAUAGAAUUCCUAUCUAGCUAGCUUCACCCAAUACAUUCCUUUAUCAACACCAAGUUCUCUUUUUUUUUUUUUUUUGAACAAUCUAGGUUAUCAAAUUUUGAGAUCU